rnacentral:rRNA from 1 species
GAUGAACGCUGGCGGCGUGCCUAAUACAUGCAAGUCGAGCGAACAGACGAGGAGCUUGCUCCUCUGACGUUAGCGGCGGACGGGUGAGUAACACGUGGAUAACCUACCUAUAAGACUGGGAUAACUUCGGGAAACCGGAGCUAAUACCGGAUAAUAUAUUGAACCGCAUGGUUCAAUAGUGAAAGACGGUUUUGCUGUCACUUAUAGAUGGAUCCGCGCCGCAUUAGCUAGUUGGUAAGGUAACGGCUUACCAAGGCGACGAUGCGUAGCCGACCUGAGAGGGUGAUCGGCCACACUGGAACUGAGACACGGUCCAGACUCCUACGGGAGGCAGCAGUAGGGAAUCUUCCGCAAUGGGCGAAAGCCUGACGGAGCAACGCCGCGUGAAUGAUGAAGGUCUUCGGAUCGUAAAACUCUGUUAUUAGUGAAGAACAAAUGUGUAAGUAACUAUGCACGUCUUGACGGUACCUAAUCAGAAAGCCACGGCUAACUACGUG